rnacentral:rRNA from 1 species
AGGACGAACGCUGGCGGCGUGCCUAACACAUGCAAGUCGAACGGGGUCCAACCGGUGGCAACACUGGUGAAGACCUAGUGGCGAACGGGUGAGUAUCACGUGAGCAACCUGCCCCGAAGACUGGGAUAACACCGGGAAACCGGUGCUAAUACCGGAUACCCCCACCGGAUCGCAUGGUCUGGUGAGGAAAUGAAUUUUGCUUUGGGAGGGACUCGCGGCCUAUCAGCUUGUUGGUGGUGUAACGGACCACCAAGGCUUCGACGGGUAGCUGGUCUGAGAGGACGAUCAGCCACACUGGGACUGAGACACGGCCCAGACUCCUACGGGAGGCAGCAGUGGGGAAUCUUGCGCAAUGGGCGAAAGCCUGACGCAGCAACGCCGCGUGAGGGACGAAGGCCUUCUGGGUUGUAAACCUCUUUCAGCAGGGACGAUGAUGACGGUACCUGCAGAAGAAGCCCCGGCCAACUACGUGCCAGCAGCCGCGGU